AGGACAGAAUGGUAAUUGAACAAUGUGUUGAAAACACCCUCAAUGCACAAUGUACAACACUUGCAGCACCAAGAAACACAACAUAAUUUACCAUUCAACUGAUUCAUCUUCAGCCAUCCAUUUCUUUCACCUUUUCACACGGAUUGUGAUCUGAACGGUUGAUAUUCAGCUCACACGCAUCAAGGGUUUUACUUUCAUUUGAUUUACUCUCACAAAACUUCAUCAACCCUUUUUCUCUCUCUUUCUCUCUCUCUGGCGACUCAUGAACAUAUCUUGUUAAAAUCCGCUGAUUAGGGUUCCGGCAGUGGGAUUCUCGAGCAGAUUGGUGGCAGACGAGCAUCCGGCUGUAGAUGGUGGUUUUCUGGUAGAUCUAAGUUUUAAACCCCCAGCCGCUCCUUUUCGUUCUCUCUCAAAGAUUCAGUCCAGAUCUGCCCUCCUUUUCGUUUUCAGAGUAAAUCUUUUUUUUUGUUGGCUAUUAUUCUAUAAUUAUGUUUUUUUAUGAAUAAUAUCAGGUGGCAUAUAACAAUUUUGUUGCUGAUGGUUCAUUGUCAGCUGCAAGGGAGAAAGGAUUUAUUCAGAAUUGGCUUUAAAUGGGUCGAAUGAGUCAUACUUGCUCAUAUUAUUGACACACAUGUGGAUCAUCUUGAGGAUGUUGUUACUAAACUUGAGACUGAGCUUGAUUCUGUAGAAGUUGAUUUGGAUAAAGGUGGCUUUUCUUUAAAGAGACAACUGUUGGACGACAGAAGAUUUCCAAAAAUGCAUCUAGAAUUGCAAUGCCUUCUGCAGGUGAUUGCACACGGGGAACAAGUGUUCCCGGGGGUGAAAGAAAAGUGUUCCGUAAAAGAUUGGUUUGAAAUGAAGACAUCAUCACUUGAAGGGUUGAUUGGUCGACUCAGACGACUAAAGGAGAAUGUUGGAUUCAUAAGCAAUCGUGUGACAGCUGUCCAAUGGGGUCUCGACAGCUGGCAGGCUGAACAAAUCAAUAGAAAACUAUACUGCCUGUCUUUCCUCUCCAUCAUAUUCCUUCCUCUAUCCAUCAUCACAGGAGUGUUUGGGAUGAAUGUGGUAGGCGUCCCUUGGACACAACAAAGAGACCCGAAGCUGAAAAAUGGUUUUAGAAACGUGAUGUUGGUUUGUGUGGGGACAUUGAUUCUUGUGCUUUUAUGCUUCUUGUUCCCGUUUUUGUAUGGCCGAAUAAGUUUUUGGAGAAAACAAAGCUUUAAAAAGAAUUUGGUCUGGCCCUUUGAUUUAUAUUGUUAUGAUCAUAUGUGUUGUUAUUUCUGGUGUACAGGAUGGACCUUUUGUUUUAAAACUUUGAUCUGAAUGUUUAUGUUGUGCUGCAUUCUUGUAAGAUUUCAGGCUCAUGUUGGAAAUACAUAGCAGGAACAGUGGGACAUCUGCUGCCGUUUGGUAUGGAACUGGAGCGAUCUCAUGUUUUUUUAGCCAAAACUCUGUCAAACUCAGUGAUCUGGAUUUUUUAGAGGCAACCAGAGAGAGCAUAGCAUCACUUUCUUGGCAGCCAAGUUAGAUUGUAUGCUUGGUCUUGGACUUCCGGCGAAAUCUGUUGGGAAAGUUGUACCUGUUUGGUAACUAGAAAAAUUCACCAAUUACUUAUCAUCCAACUCAUGAAUUAACUCUGGAACCCCAGACCAAGGAAUCUGUUAAAACCAAGCACCCACAACUUCACUAUGAGGCCAAGUUGUACAUGCUACUUCAAGGAGGAAGAAUCGUACCUAUGUGGAUAAUACGAUGAUGUAUCUGGAUCUCGAUUUCCUGUUUCGUCUGGGAGCCAAGAACUAUUUACAUCAACGUAAAUAGUUUCAUCCGCGGACUCACAAGUCCGGGUUCUUUGCAGAAUCAACGUUGUCGGGAAAUUCAAAGGUAACAGGCAUUCAGAACAUAGAGCAACGACUAGAAACGUCCCUUAGACGCCUUAGAUUGAGAAAGUUAAAAGAGAUUUGAAUGACCCACGUCUCCUGCCAAUUGCUGAAGCUAAAUGUACAUCAAAUGCCAGCGGAGCUGCCUUUUAUAGUUCAGAAGUUUUGAUUGCAAGUCUUUGAGACAUAUUAUUGUUUUGAAUUUGCAAAAAUCUGAAACAAAAGUUAUCAAAUGAUGAUUAUGGUAUGGUUUUGCA